rnacentral:rRNA from 1 species
CCUACUGGAGACAUCAUUAGGGCAUCUUGCUCAAUGGGGGAAACCCUGAAGCAGCAACGCCGCGUGGAGUCUUCCUUUUUUCUUCUUUUCCCCUCCUUUUUUUCUCUCCUCUCCUUCCUUUCUCUCCCUAAUAAGCACCGUCUAACUCCGUGCCAUCAGCCUCUUUAAUACUGAGUGUUCCCUCUUUACUCUUCCUCCCUUUUCGUAAAUAGCUGUUAGGCGGGAUAGCAAGUCCUAUGUUAACUCAUAUGGCCUAACCAUAGAACUUCAGGGGAAACUGUUAUUCUAGAGUAUGGGAGAGGUAGGUGGAAUUAGUGGUGUAGGGGUAAAAGAAGUAGAGAUAAAGAGGAAUACUAAUUGAGAAGGAGACAUGAGAGAAAAUAAAUGAAGCUGAUGCGCGAAAGAGGGGGGAGAAAACAGGAGGAGAGAAAAAGGGAGGC